rnacentral:tRNA from 1 species
GCCUCGUUGGCGCAGUAGGCAGCGCAUCAGUCUCAUAAUCUGAAAGUUGUGAGUUCGAGCCUCACACGGGGCA